rnacentral:rRNA from 1 species
GAUGAACGCUGGCGGCGUGCCUAAUACAUGCAAGUCGAGCGAAUGGAUUAAGAGCUUGCCCUUAUGAAGUUAGCGGCGGACGGGUGAGUAACACGUGGGGAACCUGCCCAUAAGACUGGGAUAACUCCGGGAAACCGGGGCUAAUACCGGAUAACAUUUUGAACCGCAUGGUUCGAAAUUGAAAGGCGGCUUCGGCUGUCACUUAUGGAUGGACCCGCGUCGCAUUAGCUAGUUGGUGAGGUAACGGCUCACCAAGGCAACGAUGCGUAGCCGACCUGAGAGGGUGAUCGGCCAAACUGGGACUGAGACACGGCCAAGACUCCUACGGGAGGCAGCGAUAGGGAAUCUUCGGCAAUGGACGAAAGUCUGACGGAGCAACGCCGCGUGAGUGAUGAAGGCUUUCGGGUCGUAAAACUCUGUUGUUAGGGAAGAACAAGUGCUAGUUGAAUAAGCUGGCACCUUGACGGUACCUAACCAGAAAGCCACGGCUAACUACGUGCCAGCCGCCGCAGUAA